GCAAGGAUUAAUUCCGUUAAUGUUUUUCGAUUUCGUUUGCGGCCAGACACCUUGCAAGAUAAAAAUAUAUUUAAUUAUACAUUUUCUUAAAGUGUUUAUUGUGCACUUUAAGUAAAAUGUAUUACUAGA